UGUACAUACCGGUACCAUAAAUAAAUAAGCCCUACCCUGAAAAUAAGCCCUAGUGUGUUUUUUGGGACUAAAAUUAAUAUAAGACCCGGUCUUAUUUUCGGAGAAACACGGUAGGAAAACACACCUUGGGUUAGAGGCAAAGGGAUGGCUGGGAGAGUUGACACUUAAAUAAAAUAACAGGAUAGACAACACUUUGGGCCUUGGGAAAGUAAAUCACAUUUACAUAUCAAUUGAGCUGAGGAAUUUGCUAUUUACAACAUGGGAACCAAUUCCUUUAAAAGUAGAAGAUACUGACAUCACAUUAGGUUAGGUUUUGGUAAGACACACAAGCUGCCCAUAAUAUGCACAGCACAUACACAAUGUAGCCAAUAUUAUACACAAUGUAGCAGAUAGUAUUAGAUAGAUGGAAUGUAUGAGUGUUAUGAAUGUAUUGUAACUGUAAUACUAUAACUCUGUAACAUUCUUCUUCUAUAAUAUUUAAUUGGGCAGAUUCUAAGUAAAUAUUUCUCUCUGGUAAGAACUAUGGUGUUGGCUGUUUAUUUGUAAUAUUGGGUAGAAUACCUUAGUAGUGCUAGUCAUAUAUUUAUCUGGACAAGGGGAUAAAGAUAUAUGUUAGUUCUUGGAAGAGGUUACACAGGGAUAUUACAUUCACUAUUAAAACACAACGCAGAGUGGAUUUCUCUCAAAAGGAUACCAAUUGGAAGUAUUGGUGGUGAGAGAAGGAUUAUACAACAAUUAGAUGCAUUGAAAGGAAGUGUUUAGGAAGGCUGUGCAAAUUACAUGCAGGGGAUGUGACUAAGGCUGCACAAAUACAUGAUUUAACUAUUAAAUGGCAAAUAAUUUAGCAGUUAGACUGAAGGGGCAUGAUCUAUACAUCAAAACUGUUUAAGCUAAAGUUGUCUUGGUGACUAUAAUGUCCCUUUAAAGUGGAUCUGUCACUGUUUAGGUACUUUUUAUACUCUUCAUACCCCAACUGUUACAUUGCCACUGGGAGUCUGUUGGCUGGUGGUGGGUGGACAAAGGUGACUUUUACUUAUGUGCUUCGUGGGUGCCGCCAUUAUCUUUGUUUCGGUCAUCUUCUGUUCCUUGCACCUCAGCUGCCAGGUGCUAACAUCAAUGAUGUACUCUUUGCACAUGUGAGAUUACACCCGAGAGGUCUAUGUAGGAGACCUCAGGAAAGUGACAAGGAAUGACGGCGUUGGCAUCACCCAGGGUCAAGCACUGUCAACAGUAACAAAAAUAGUCACUAUUUUGUUUCAGUAUAUCUUUUGACUGGGUUGGAAUUUCACAAUGCACUUGAGUAUUUUAUAAAGAUUAUAUCUUUAUGAAAUACUCAUUAUCCCAGGGUUGGGUGACAGUGCAGCUUUAAUUUCAUUAAAAUUUAAACACACACACACAUGAAGCAGGUAGUGGUAAAAUAAUUAUUAUUAGAGACACUCCACUCAAUUCAAAAGAGAGAAACAGUGUUAAAGUGCAAUGGUAAAAGAGGC